rnacentral:rRNA from 1 species
GACGAGCCACCCGAACGUUAUUCGGAAUUACUGGGCUUAAAGGGUGCGUAGGCGGUGUAGCAAGUCGGGAGUGAAAUACCCCAGCUUAACUGAGGAAUUGCUUUCGAUACUGCUGCGCUUGAGUGAGACAGAGGUAAGCGGAACUUAGGGUGGAGCGGUGAAAUGCGUUGAUAUCCUAAGGAACACCGGUGGCGAAGGCGGCUUACUGGGUCUCAACUGACGCUGAGGCACGAAAGCUUGGGUAGCAAACGGG